rnacentral:rRNA from 1 species
UACGUAGGUGGCAAGCGUUGUCCGGAUUUAUUGGGUUUAAAGGGUGCGUAGGCGGCUUUGUAAGUCAGUGGUGAAAUACGGUAGCUCAACUAUCGAGGUGCCAUUGAUACUGCGGAGCUUGAGUACAGAUGAGGUAGGCGGAAUUGACGGUGUAGCGGUGAAAUGCUUAGAUAUCGUCAAGAACACCUAUAGCGAAGGCAGCUUACUAGGCUGUAACUGACGCUGAGGAGCGAAAGCCAGGGGAGCAAACGGG